UACGUAGGGUGCGAGCGUUAAUCGGAAUUACUGGGCGUAAAGCGUGCGCAGGCGGUUCGUUGUGUCUGAUGUGAAAUCCCCGGGCUCAACCCGGGAACUGCAUUGGAAACUGGCGGACUGGAGUGUGGCAGAGGGGGGUGGAAUUCCGCGUGUAGCAGUGAAAUGCGUAGAGAUGCGGAGGAACACCGAUGGCGAAGGCAGCCCCCUGGGCCAACACUGACGCUCAGGCACGAAAGCGUGGGGAGCAAACAGG
rnacentral:rRNA from 1 species